rnacentral:rRNA from 1 species
UACGAAGGGGGCUAGCGUUGUUCGGAUUUACUGGGCGUAAAGCGCACGUAGGCGGCUCGUUAAGUCGGGGGUGAAAUCCUGGAGCUCAACUCCAGAACUGCCUUCGAUACUGGCGAUCUCGAGUCCGGAAGAGGUGAGUGGAACUCCUAGUGUAGAGGUGGAAUUCGUAGAUAUUAGGAAGAACACCAGUGGCGAAGGCGGCUCGCUGGUCCGGUACUGACGCUGAGGUGCGAAAGCGUGGGGAGCAAACAGG